rnacentral:snRNA from 1 species
GAGCUCAGGUUUCCCUUCAUUAUAUGCGUGCUAAUCUUUCGCCUUUUACUAAAGAUUACCGUGGAGGGGAACAUUACAAUGAGCCUAUAGGCAAUUUUUGAAAUCCCGCUUUACGCGGGAU